rnacentral:rRNA from 1 species
UGCAAGUCGAGCGAACAGAUGAGAAGCUUGCUUCUCUGAUGUUAGCGGCGGACGGGUGAGUAACACGUGGGUAACCUACCUAUAAGACUGGGAUAACUCCGGGAAACCGGGGCUAAUACCGGAUAAUAUUUUGAACCGCAUGGUUCAAUAGUGAAAGACGGUUUCGGCUGUCACUUAUAGAUGGACCCGCGCCGUAUUAGCUAGUUGGUAAGGUAACGGCUUACCAAGGCGACGAUACGUAGCCGACCUGAGAGGGUGAUCGGCCACACUGGAACUGAGACACGGUCCAGACUCCUACGGGAGGCAGCAGUAGGGAAUCUUCCGCAAUGGGCGAAAGCCUGACGGAGCAACGCCGCGUGAGUGAUGAAGGUCUUCGGAUCGUAAAACUCUGUUGUUAGGGAAGAACAAAUUUGUUAGUAACUGAACAAGUCUUGACGGUACCUAACCAGAAAGCCACGGCUAACUACGUGCCAGCAGCCGCGGUAAUACGUAGGUGGCAAGCGUUAUCCGGAAUUAUUGGGCGUAAAGCGCGCGUAGGCGGUUUCUUAAGUCUGAUGUGAAAGCCCACGGCUCAACCGUGGAGGGUCAUUGGAAACUGGGAAACUUGAGUGCAGAAGAGGAGAGUGGAAUUCCAUGUGUAGCGGUGAAAUGCGCAGAGAUAUGGAGGAACACCAGUGGCGAAGGCGGCUCUCUGGUCUGUAACUGACGCUGAUGUGCGAAAGCGUGGGGAUCAAACAGGAUUAGAUACCCUGGUAGUCCACGCCGUAAACGAUGAGUGCUAAGUGUUAGGGGGGUUUCCGCCCCUUAGUGCUGCAGCUAACGCAUUAAGCACUCCGCCUGGGGGAGUACGAUAUGGGCGUAAAGCGCGCGUAGGCGGUUUUUUAAGUCUGAUGUGAAAGCCCACGGCUCAACCGUGGAGGGUCAUUGGAAACUGGAAAACUUGAGUGCAGAAGAGGAAAGUGGAAUUCCAUGUGUAGCGGUGAAAUGCGCAGAGAUAUGGAGGAACACCAGUGGCGAAGGCGACUCUCUGGUCUGUAACUGACGCUGAUGUGCGAAAGCGUGGGGAUCAAACAGGAUUAGAUACCCUGGUAGUCCACGCCGUAAACGAUGAGUGCUAAGUGUUAGGGGGUUUCCGCCCCUUAGUGCUGCAGCUAACGCAUUAAGCACUCCGCCUGGGGAGUACGACCGCAAGGUUGAAACUCAAAGGAAUUGACGGGGACCCGCACAAGCGGUGGAGCAUGUGGUUUAAUUCGAAGCAACGCGAAGAACCUUACCAAAUCUUGACAUCCUUUGACAACUCUAGAGAUAGAGUCUUCCCCUUCGGGGGACAAAGUGACAGGUGGUGCAUGGUUGUCGUCAGCUCGUGUCGUGAGAUGUUGGGUUAAGUCCCGCAACGAGCGCAACCCUUAAGCUUAGUUGCCAUCAUUAAGUUGGGCACUCUAGGUUGACUGCCGGUGACAAACCGGAGGAAGGUGGGGAUGACGUCAAAUCAUCAUGCCCCUUAUGAUUUGGGCUACACACGUGCUACAAUGGACAAUACAAAGGGCAGCGAAACCGCGAGGUCAAGCAAAUCCCAUAAAAUUAUUCUCAGUUCGGAUUGUAGUCUGCAACUCGACUACAUGAAGCUGGAAUCGCUAGUAAUCGUAGAUCAGCAUGCUACGGUGAAUACGUUCCCGGGUCUUGUACACACCGCCCGUCACACCACGAGAGUUUGUAACACCCGAAGCCGGUGGAGUAACCUUUUAGGAGCUAGCCGUCGAAU